UACGUAGGGUGCAAGCGUUGUCCGGAAUUAUUGGGCGUAAAGAGCUCGUAGGCGGUCUGUUGCGUCGGCUGUGAAAACCCGGGGCUCAACCCCGGGCCUGCAGCCGAUACGGGCAGACUAGAGUUCGGCAGGGGAGACUGGAAUUCCUGGUGUAGCGGUGAAAUGCGCAGAUAUCAGGAGGAACACCGGCGGUGUAGACGGCUUUCUGGACCGUAGCUGACGCUGAGACACGAAAGCGUGGGUAGCAAACAGG
rnacentral:rRNA from 1 species